rnacentral:rRNA from 1 species
AUUGAACGCUGGCGGCAGGCCUAACACAUGCAAGUCGAACGAGUGGCAGACGGGUGAGUAAUGUGUGGGACACUGCCUGAUGGAGGGGUAUAACUACUGGACACGGUCGCUAAUACCGCAUACCCUCAGAUGUGCCGAGAUGGGAAUAGCUAGUUGGUGGGGUAACGGCGCACAAAGGCGACGAUCCCUAGCUGGUCUGAGAGGAUGACCAGCCAAACUGGAACGGAGACACGGCCCAGACUCCUACGGGAGGCAGCAGUGGGGAAGAUUGCACAAUGGGCGCAAGCCUGAUGCAGCCAUGCCGCGUGUAUGAAGAAGGCCUUCGGGUUGUAAAGUACUUUCAGCGGGGAGGCGUUACCGGCAGAAGAAGCACCGGCUAACUCCGUGCCAGCAGCCGCGGUAAUUC